rnacentral:rRNA from 1 species
GUGCCAGCAGCCGCGGUAAUACGUAGGGUGCAAGCGUUGUCCGGAAUUAUUGGGCGUAAAGAGCUCGUAGGCGGUCUGUUGCGUCUGCUGUGAAAACCCGGGGCUUAACCCCUGGCUUGCAGUGGAUACGGACAGACUAGAGGUAGGUAGGGGAGAAUGGAAUUCCCGGUGUAGCGGUGAAAUGCGCAGAUAUCGGGAGGAACACCGGUGGCGAAGGCGGUUCUCUGGGCCUUACCUGACGCUGAGGAGCGAAAGCGUGGGGAGCGAACAGGAUUAGAUACCCCUGUAGUCC